GUUCCGAAGAGGAGCUGCUCGUGGGUUAGAGGCCUUGCUUACAGAGCCUCAGCAAAACAUUGAAGCUGUCAUCCCUGAUGAGGAAGUGAUCAGGUGGUCAGAGUUUUUCAUGGUAUUUAAGCAACCUGUUUUAAUUUUUAUCACAGAAAAACAUGGGAAUUACUUUGCUUAUGUACGAUUGUGCAAAUCACACAGCUUGAGCAAAUACACACUCUUAUUUGGAAAAGAAGAAAAAUCUGUUAAACC